rnacentral:rRNA from 1 species
GUCUACAGCCAUACCACCCUGAACACAACUGAUCUUGUCUGAUCUUGGAAGCUAAGCAGGGUCAGACCUGGUUAGUACUUGGAUGGGAGACCACCUGGGGAUACUGGGUGCUGUGGGCU